AAACUUCUUUUAUUUGGGACGAAAAACGGGGAUUCUUCCUCACUUGACGGUACCAGAUGAAUAAGCACCGGCUAACUCCGUGCCAGCAGCCGCGGUAAUACGGAGGGUGCAAGCGUUAUCCGGAUUCACUGGGUUUAAAGGGUGCGUAGGCGGGCUGUUAAGUCAGUGGUGAAAUCUUUGGGCUUAACCCGAAAACUGCCAUUGAUACUAUCAGUCUUGAAUAUUGUGGAGGUCUGCGGAAUAUGUCAUGUAGCGGUGAAAUGCUUAGAUAUGACAUAGAACACCAAUUGCGAAGGCAGCAGGCUACGCAUAUAUUGACGCUGAGGCACGAAAGCGUGGGGAUCAAACAGGAUUAGAUACCCUGGUAGUCCACGCCCUAAACGAUGGAUACUCGACAUACGCGAUACACAGUGUGUGUCUGA
rnacentral:rRNA from 1 species